GAUUUAGAUGCACUAUUGUAAAGUGACUGUUCCACUGGAUGUCAUAAGGUGAAUGCACCAAUUUGUAAGUCGCUCUGGAUAAGAGCGUCUGCUAAAUGACUUAAAUGUAAAUGUAAAUGAAAAAAACUCACAUACGGGCGGCAGUUAGAGAUAUUUGGGUUAAUUACAAAACACAACAUAAUGAUAUCUUCUCAAUUUAGUUGUUUUAACAACCAGUUAAUCCAAUAGCAAAAAAUGCAAGAUACAUGUUUCAAAAUUGACAUUUGAAUGUAAUAUGCUACAGUACUGUAAAUGACAGUACAUUAAACUGUUUUCACAUUAGGCAAUACACUUGCACUACACGUCAAAAUUGACCCAUAAAAAUGUGAAAAUCCCAUGUGUAAUCAAAGUUGUGAUCAUUGAAGACAUCUUUCAUAAUCAUUGAUGCAAAAAAUAAAUGUAUUGUUCAAAUAUGACAUCAUAGGUGUACUGUAAUCAAAUGAAACAAAUGACAAAACUGUCUUGAGCAUUCGGCCGUAGGUUGUUCAUACACCUGGGGGAAACCUUUUGGCAUGAUGCAUCCAAGCCUAACAGGUCUGGAUUGAUGUCAUUGCAUGCCUCAUCCAAGGCCUUGAGGAGGGUGGUACGCUCAAGGGGGUGGCGAUCAUACACCUUCCACCUGUAUUGUAAUCAUGUAUUGUAGUGGUCCUGUGUGGCUCAAUUAGUAAGAGCAUGGCCAGAAUUACCACUCUGGGGUCCUAUACAAAAAUGUGUGGACUCCCUGUUGUCACUUUGGAUAAAAACACCUGUUACGUAAAUGCCAUAUAUUACAGUGCGAUAUUGGCCAACAAUUUUUGUAAAGAUUUACAUAGCAUCAAGCUUGGAAAUAAAAAACUAUGCAUGAUUUGUUUGCUUUCUAGAUGUAACGUGAGCAUUUUAAUAUUUUAUAUCAUUCUUGUUAUAUUAUCCUUUUCAAUUGGUAUAUAACAAAAUGCUUCUAGAAGAGUAAAAACAUUGAAACUUGCAUUAUGAGUCAAUACAUAAAAUACUGUACAUGGCUCUGGGUCAAUUGAGUACCACAAUAUGAGCAAUAGUCAUAAGACCUAGAAGUAAAACCCGGAAAUGGUUCCAAUCGUUUUUCCACCAUUCAUAUUUCCGCAGGGGAUUUUAGAACUACUUCAUAUAUGGUCUGUUUGUGUAGGCUUUCCUUGACAUGACGUUUUGAUAACUGCGCAAAUCUCUCUUGGACAAGGUAACUUUUAGCAGUAUAUUCGCCUGUACCCACCAAAAAUGAAAUUAGCUGCCAAUGUGGCUAUCAUACAGAACUACACAUCCUGUCACAAGCUUUGAUGUCAUUCUUCAAGACGCAUGGUAGGAAUAACCUCCACAUUUCUCCAUUUGAUCGUUUUCUGAUCUCUGUAAGCGAGAGAGGUCGCUGGAGCUGUGUGAUAAGGUAAGUAAGCCAUGUUUGCUAGCUUCUAAUGUUACCGGCCUCAGACUGACUUUGAAGGUGGCCUCUGAAGUGAUUUUUGGCACUUUCUUUAUUCUCUAAUAUGCUUUUUAAAGUUAAAUUCUCUAAUUUCAAAUAUUUGGUUAUCAAUUAAUUUAAAUUGAUUGACAGUGGUGUAAUGUACUUAAGUAGUACUUUGAAGUAUUUUUACUUAAGUCGUUUGUCGGGGUAUCUUUAAAUUUUUGAAAAUUUACUCCCCUACAUUCCUAAAGAAAACACUUAUCAACAGAUCAUCUAAGGUCAUCCCUACUGCCUCUGAUCUGGCGGACUCACUAAACACAUGCUUUGUUUGUAAAUUAUGUCCGAGUUUCCCCCUGGCUAUCUGUAAAUACAUUUUUUUUUUUUUAUUAACUAUGAAAAUGGUGCCGCCUGGUUUGCUUUAUAACAUUUUAAAUGAUUUAUACUUUUACUUUUGAUACUUAAGUAUAUUUUAGCAAUUACAUUUACUUUUGAUACUUAAGUAUAUUUAAAACCAAAUACUUCAACUCAUGUAUUAUUUUAAUGGGUGACUUUUACUUGAGUCAUUUUCUAUUAAGGUAUCUUUACUUUUACUCAAGAAUGGCAAUUGGGUACUUUUUACAUCGCUGUAGAUUGAUAAGUGAUGACAAAACAUUCAUCCACAUGCAAGUGCACACAUUAACAUUCAACAUAAAUGCAAUUUACCUACAGUAGAUUUCCUCAUUCACAAUCGAAACACUUAUGGAUAAAGAUAAACAACUGACGUGUCUGAAUAUUGCUACACUUGUAGAAAACAGAUAAGCAUUAUAUUCAGCUUCAAAACAGUAACGUUAGUGCAACCAUGAAAUUGUCUCUCUCGCACCCGCACUGCCUGCACUAAAGUCCGUUGACACAGGCAGGGAGCAUCAUUUUACAGAAAACUAAUAACACUUCAAACAAACUCAGAAACCUCAAAUAAAUUGAUUCUUUACGAAAUUACUUCUAGGAAAUCAUGUACAUUUACUCAGAAAACCCCAACGGCUCUAUGUGACUUGUAAAAUAGUGUCCACCACAGCUAGCAUAAAAGCUAACAUACACUCAUUAAUUCUGUCACGUUCUUCACUCACUCAGUUUGAUACAAAAAUAACACAUACAACUUUCACCAAACAUGAUAACUAACCCCUUUACUGGUUUGUCACCCAGCAUGUUAUGAUGUUCUUUCGAUAUUAGAAAGUUUAAAUGUGCUGUUACAUACCUGUAGUGAUAACAAGAAACGGACACAAAAGUUAUUGUCUUGACAGUUCUGGCACUUUAUUCUAAGGAAAUGAUGUGCGCUUGGUCAGAACUUGUUGCUUUCCCCACUACCACAGUGAAACAGCGCCAUCUAUUAGACUGAUGGGCUAAAUACUGCUAAAGCGUGUAGAAAAUAGUUUGUUUGUUUUUACCUUUAUUUAACUAGGCAAGUCAGUUAAGAACAAAUUCUUAUUUACAAUGACGGUCUACCGGGGAACAGUGGGUUUGUUCAGGGGCAGAAUGACAGAUUUUUUACCUAGUCAGCUCGGGGAUUCAAUCCAGCAACCUUUCGGUUACUGGCCCAAAGUUUAUUAAGACACAUACAAUUUGUUUUUUUUUAAAUUAGGGGGUGUCUAUUUUUAGUGACAAUUUUUCAACCUAUUACACUAACAAGCUAUUUUGGUUUCGAUCAAAUAUCUGUGGUUAGCUAGAUACUCAUGAAAAUUAGUAGGGAUGCACAAUAUAUUGGUAAGCAUAUCGGAAUCUGCCGAUAUUAGCUAAAAAUGCCAACAUCGGCCCGAUGUCUAGUUUAAAGCUGUGUGCUGUGUGCAAAACCGAUGUCAAAGCUGACGUGCAUAUCUAUAUAAACGUAGGUAGAUAACGUAAUGACGCCACACAAAAAAUACAGCGCUAUACGUGCAACACAGCCUUCCUAACCUAGCCCACAAGGUCUGCUGUGUGGAUCUAUAUAGAAGUUUCAAACGAAGAUAACAAAAAGGCCAUAUAUGCAACGUUUGUGCUCCUAUUAUUUCCCGAGGAGGGGAGAAAGUGAAAUCAUUCAAUACCACAAACCUAAUUACUCAUUUGAAAAUGCAUCAUCCCCAGACGUUCAGCGACUACUCAGAACAAAAGCAGAAAAAAACACACACUUCCAACAACUAAACAAGUUCAAGUUGAGCAGUCAUUUGAAAGAGAAAGAAAAUUUCAGCGAGACAACUCAAAGGCGAAAUCCAUUAACGCCAAGAUAAUGGAAUUCAUUGCCCUUGACAAUCAAUCGUUCUCUGUCGUGGAUGAUGUUGGCUUUCGACUGGUCAAGCACCUCGAGCCCCGGUACACACUACCAAGUAGGCGCUAUUUUUCAGAUGUUGCCCUAGCGGAAUUACACAGUAUUGUUGAAACUCACAUCCAUUAGCUACUUGAUAUGGGCAUCACUGCUAUUAGCUUCACGACUGACAUUUGGACCAGCGAUGUCAGCCUCAUGAGCAUGCCGAGUCUGACAGCACAGUGGGUCGACAAGGAUUUCGUACUGAGGAAAGCCGUAUUGCAUGCUCAAGAAUGUGCUGGUUCUCAUACCGCUGCUGCCAUCUCAAUGGCAUUUGAGAACAUGUUUGAAACUUGGAAACAUGAACACACUCCUAGCUACAUUCGAACAACUGACUUGAGAAAUAAGCUCAUCAACUGCGUCUGCAGCAGACGUGAUAUCCUCUGUCAUGGCACUUGAAACCCCUGCUCAACAAAACUUCCAACACAGACCGUGGGGUUAAAACUUGCAAAAGUACUCUACUAGAGGCUGUGAACAAGUGAUUCGGUGGCAUUCUUUGAGCCUCUUUACUGUGUCGCCGCCAUGCUCGAUGCUAGGUACAAGGGCCGCUACUUUGAUACAGACAAGAAACAGGGUUUACCUGAAAUGUUACAGACACAGCUGAACAAUAUGGAAACGUGCACAGUGACAGUGCGCACCGAAGAGGACCCACGACAGAAGAGGCCAUGGACAGAGAGCUGAAACUUUACUGCUUGACAUGUAUGAUGAAAUCCUGGUUGAGAUUGAAACGACUGAACAAAUGAACAACGAAACAGCACAGUAAGUAAGUGAAAGAAAUAGGUUUUGAUUAUGUUUUACUGGUAAUGGGGACAUACGUAAAUGCCAACAAAAUAACUUUUUGGUCAGUGUGUGUUUCAACUAUUUAACUGUACUAGAAUGCUUAAAAGGCCCUAAAAUAUUUAAUAGCGGUUAUCGGUAUCUGUUUCUUUUGGCAAGGAAAAUAUCGGAUAUCGGUAUCGGCCAAAAAUGUCAUGUCGGUGCAUCCUAAAAAUUUGCUAGAUAACCACCGACUGUAGAUACGUGUGCAAAGCAUGUUCCUUACAAGUAAAAAUAAAAACAGCAUAGGCUAGCAUAAUGACUGUUGUGACCUAUUAUUAUUGACAAGUCCUUCGUGAACUAGCCAGCUAGUUAACUUUAGCUUACAGUUUGUGUAGUCAUACUUUUUCACGUGGUGAUAUGCUAGCUCACCAGAGCAGGGAUAUAUCCAGCUAAUAUUGCCUGGUGGGCUAGCUAGUUAGGCACCUUGGUUGCCUAGUUGGCUACAUUAGCUAACGUUAGCUAGCUAAUGUUGCACCGUAUCUCACUGUCGUGUAGUCUGACUUUCCCGACCGGCAUGUUAGCGAAAACAUUAAAUAUCCCUGCCCUGGUGGACUAGUUAGCAUGUCACCACCACUGGGGUCUGGGGAAAAGUCUGACUACAUGAACGAUGAGCUAACGUAACUAGCUAGUUAAACUUUCACUAAAUAUCCUGGUGGGCUAACAUUAGCUAGCAUGUCAUCUCGUGGAAAAGUGUGACUACAGGAACGGUGAGCUAACGUUAACUAACUGGCUAGCUAGCUCACAAAGGACGUGUGGGCUCAAUGUUUUCCCAUACACAACACAAACAGUUUUGUUCCAUUAGUGCAUCUGUUGGACAUGACUAAUCAAAUGACCUGUGGAGUCAGGGAUGGAAAUUAAGCUAGCCCGAGGCUAGUACUUUUCAGACUGGACUAGUGGACAAUGUACCAAACUAUUCUGACACAGCAGUGAAAUGUCUAGUAUAAAAUGUGCCAAACUAGCCUGACACAGCAGUGAAAUGUUGCCUUUACAAACAUUGCAUGCCACAGAUAUAGGACCUAAAUGCUAGUAGAAAUCAUGGUCUGCUGGCCAUUGCCCAAAAUCCUUAUGUUCCAUCCCUGCAUCUCAGUUCAUUUCAGACGAUCCCCCUACUACUGUUGGUCCUCCUCAGUGACCUCACGGCUGAGGGUUUUAACUUUCCUCUUGAGAAUUAGAAUCACAAGUAUAGUCGUAUAGCUCCUAGCAAUACUUCACCUCUUCAGGCAAAUAGUACCCUAGACUGUCCUGAUCAUCUAAUUGUGCAUUCCAGAUAAUUCCUCCAUCCCAGCAGAAAUGUUCUAUCCACAUAAUAGGAUUUUAGAUGUGCAGAUAAACCAAAGCCCAGUCUAUUUUACCAUUACUAUAGUCAAGUCUGUGGGUUAUGGUAUUUUAAUAUAGAUGUUACCAUUUUAGUCAUUAAUUUAGCUAGCUACUUUCAGAUGGGCGGACUGGAAACCCAGUGAGAACAUUGGUAUGCAGCUGCCAUUUUCUGUGGGGAAAGAUAAAUGGCCCAGUAUUUACCAGGAAAGGUAGCUCAUCCACCAUGGCAGAAGAGGAAGAUCCAGACUGUUGAUUGGGAAACAAGAACAAACAAUGAGGUGUGACAAUUGUUACAUUGUCCAAGGUUUGUUUGUGUUAUGAUAAACAAUGUGUUUUCUGUCCAGAUAAAGAUGGAGAUACAGCAUUGAAAAAUACCUAACACUAACCAAAUGUCUCUGUUUUCCAGUCCAACAGGAGUGUAUCCCUCAGACAAUCCGGUGCAUGGAGAUCUUGUGCCAGUUGUGAUCCGAGUGUGAGCGUCUACUUGUGGAGACUACAGCAGAUCAAGCCUGUGGACGGACAGACAUGAGGCGUGACAUGCGGAACAUCAAGUUCACCCCACGAGAAGCAGUGCAUGAUCAACGACAUCCUCAGCAAGGAGAUCUGCUGGAAGUGAUGUACUCUCUCUCUCACUCACUCUGGGGGUACAGGCAGGGGUGACUGGGGCCUUCAGCAAGUAAGACACAGGGGUAAGAAAUAAUUUGAACAUCACGUGUAUAAAUUCCCACUGUACCCAUGAUAAAGUUAACCACAUUACUUUAUUUGUAUGUAAUAUAACCUAUUAUGGGAGCCUAGUGUGUUUGUAUGAACUGUGUGGAAUAUUUUUGGAAUAUGAGUGUCAGAGGUUGUCACGCUGGAUGGGGAUGAUGAUGGAGGCUUUGGUGGUCCACACAACGAAGAAGUAGGUGUCCCUUCCAGUGAUGAGGAUCUGACCUUGGACCUGGUACCAGUAAGAAUGGUCUCUACGGAGAUGGUAAGACCCUACCUCCUUGAUAUAGAAAUCCUUCGACUUCACUGCCUCUUCAGUGGUAAGAUCCCUUGCACCAUAGGGACACUUGACCUCCACCAAUGCUGUGGUGCCCACCAGGCCAUCCGGUGAGGCACCCAGGAUCCCAGACUCCAUGACCCAAAGCCUUGACUCCUGCAAAUCCAUCCCUGUAGCCAUUUUUAAUGCACUCCUCUUUGUUAUCUGUGCCCCACUUUACAGACAACAACCCAUCCAAUGACUGAUUGGAGGAACCUUUUUAGCAGCAACAGAGUAACGGGCUUGGCCCUAACCACUGCUCCAUAACUGCUGGCCGUCAACCUCCCUCUCCUCAUGGUGUGCCAGAUGGGGUUGGUGCGCUGUCUAACUGUUGCCUGCCGUAAAGUCUCAUGCUGCUCCACCGACAGGGCCAUGCCAGCCAGGAUACCUGCAAGCCCCAGGUUCCCUUUCUUCUAAACAAUGUCCGGUACAGACAGGGAUGAGAUGAAGGGUAGCGGUUGUUCUGGCUCAGGUUCAUGGAGAUAUGCCAUUCCACUGAACUUGCCCUGGAGACGGUUCCUUAGCCACCUCGGUGGGAUCCCCUGGACAGAGGGUUGUAGUCUUCGGCCGGGUACAGGUCCUCCACUAACUGCACCUGGUUGGGCACGGCUGGCUUAGGCUAUAUGGCUACACUUAUGUGCUCCACGGAGGCAUUCGCAUAAGGUAGAGAGAAUUCCCUGGUCACCUAUAGACACCUGCCAAGUGGAAGGAUGUUAAGUGCCACGUCUUUCAAUGCAUGACUUUGAACACUUUGAAAUUCAUUUGUUAUAAGAAAUGUGCUAUAUAAAUAAACUUUGAUUUGAUUGAUGACAUUACAGCUGUAGAAUAUUUCAUCAACUGUAAUUUUCAAGGACAAGUGCAGUUUUUCCAUAAAUGUGUAAUUGAUAACUUGGGAUUUUAUCACUUGACAUGUAAAUCAUAUAGUGGGAAGGACCCUAUAAAUCAAGACUGUAAAUAAAUAAAUAGUGUGCCUUUGAA